rnacentral:rRNA from 1 species
UCCGUAGGCGGUGCGGCAAGUCGAUAGUGAAAUCCCUGGGCUUAACCCAGGGGCUGCUAACGAAACUGCCGUGCUCGAGUGUGAGAGAGGCGAGUGGAAUUACGGGUGUAGCGGUGAAAUGCGUAGAUAUCCGUAGGAACAUCCGAGGCGAAAGCGGCUCGCUGGAUCACAACUGACGCUGAGGGACGAAAGCUAGGGGAGCAAACAGGAUUAGAUACCCUGGUAGUCCUAGCCCUAAACCAUCAGGACUUGGGGUUUGCCCUGUACGGGGCAAGUCCCGUAGCUAACGCGUUAGGUCCUGCGCCUGGGGAGUACGGUCGCAAGGCUGAA